UUAUUUAUUUGCACUGCUUUGAACCUGAGGCUUCCCCAAAUGGACCUCAUGUCAAGACCAGUGCUAAAGUAAUAA